AAAAAAAUUAACAACUGGCUAACUCAAUUUCCAUUCCUCGUCUAGGUACGAGAUAAGGCGGCUCAGAAAUAUGCCUUCUUGAAACAGAGCUGGAGUCUUCAUCAUUUCCAAAGAGCAAUCCAAUAUUUGGUCCAAAUGAUUCCAAAUACUCAAAUGGAUUUGAAGGUUGCUGCAAUAUUUCUAUGCUUCCCUCCAGCAUCUUCACCACAUCGCUCAUUGCAGGUCUUGCAUCAGGUGAAUGUUG
rnacentral:misc_RNA from 1 species